rnacentral:lncRNA from 1 species
AUCACAGGUGUGCCCCACCAAUCUUAGCUUUCUGAGUACCAUGCACGUGCUGUACCAACUGAGUCUUAUCCCCGUCCUGUAACUCCCCAGUUUUAGGGCAGCGUUCAAGGAAGGCAUCCAAGGAAAGUUCCUUUCCUCGUUGCCCACGUGAGCACCAGGAGCGUCUGACGCUCCGCGCUUACUGUGCCUUUACCCACAGCAGAAAACAGAACUGCGUGGACUUUCAAGGCCACCCUGACCUCUCUGAAAUCCUGGCGAGUCAUUCUGUGAACCCAGAAAGUGACUGGAUGAAAUGCACUGAAAAGAUUUACCUUGUCAGAUACUCCAGACCAUGAACAUUUUACUUAAAAAAACAAAAAACAAAAAACAAAAAAACACGUUUUCAACCCCUUCUCCUGUGCCUAUUCCUUCACAGUCGUGCACUGAAUGGUUGUUCUCACAGUGUCCCUCUAACCCUUUGGAUGAAAUCUGAGGCAUUCUUUUUUUUAAAGGAGCUGCUUUGAAUACCCCGUCUCUGCAAAAGCCUUCAAUAUUUGCCUUAGCCUUUAAAGCAUUGCAAGAUUCCAGCCCAGAUGGUUUUCUUCCUGGGUUCCGUCUCCCCAGCUGAACUCGGCGUCUUGACUCCUGUUUACCUGCUUCCCACCAUAGCGCAAUGCUCAGCCCCAUGCCCUGACACAGAGUUCACUGAAGACGGACUUGGGGGAGUGGACACAUUCUGAAUUAUUGAGUAAAUUGGGGAACUCCAUCUAUUUAGGGCUUGAGGGCUUCAAAAUGUCCCUUGCCAGGCAACCGCAGGUGGCUAAUCAGUU